rnacentral:rRNA from 1 species
UACUACCGAAGCUACGGCAUCAGUAAUGAUGGGUAGGGGAGCUUCCCAUACGGGUUGAAGCAUGACCGUAAGGACAUGUGGACAGUAUGGGAGUGAGAAUGUUGGCAUGAGUAGCGAGAUGUGGGUGGGAAUCCCACAGGCCGUAAACCCAAGGUUUCCAGGGGAAGGUUCGUCCGCCCUGGGUUAGGCGGGACCUAAGCUGAGGCCGAAAGGCGUAGGUGAUGGACAACAGGUUGAUAUUCCUGUACUACCGAUAACCGUUUGAGAGAAGGGAUGACACAGUAGGAUAAGCUAAGCACACUGUUGGUUAUGUGUGCCCAAGCAUUGAGGCAGUCAAAGUAGGCAAAUCCGCUUUGAUAAUGCUGGGAUGUGAUGGGGAGCGAAAUU